CCAACAUUCGGACCGUCGGUCUACCGAGCAAUAUCACCCGCUCGGUGGAAGAUCUUCCCUUUGUUGU
rfam:Bombyx mori DNA, contig: Bm_scaf10_contig8467, strain: p50T/Dazao, build 2, whole genome shotgun sequence.